rnacentral:rRNA from 1 species
CCAGCUCCAAUAGCGUAUAUUAAAGUUGUUGCAGUUAAAAAGCUCGUAGUUGAAUUUCUGGUGUGGUCCAUUGUAUCCGCUUCGGUGUGAUACGAUGGCUGCUCCAUCCUUACUAUUUAAGAGCAAUCUUAAGUAGUAUCCUUUACUGUGAGAAAAUUAGAGUGUUUAAAGCAGGCUUGUUGCUUGAAUACAUUAGCAUGGAAUAAUGAGAUAGGACCUCGGUGCUAUUUUGUUGGUUGCGUACCAAGGUAAUGAUUAAUAGGGACAGUUGGGGGUAUUCAUAUUUAGCUGUCAGAGGUGAAAUUCUUGGAUUUGCUAAAGAUGAACAACUGCGAAAGCAUUUACCAAGGAUGUUUUCA